rnacentral:rRNA from 1 species
UGGGGAAUUUUGGACAAUGGGGGAAACCCUGAUCCAGCCAUCCCGCGUGUGCGAUGAAGGCCUUCGGGUUGUAAAGCACUUUUGGCAGGAAAGAAACGCCAUGGGUUAUUACCCCGUGAACCUGACGGUACCUGCAGAAUAAGCACCGGCUACCUACGUGCCAGCAGCCGCGGUAAUACGUAGGGUGCAAGCGUUAAUCGGAAUUACUGGGCGUAAAGCGUGCGCAGGCGGUUCGGAAAGAAAGAUGUGAAAUCCCAGAGCUCAACUUUGGAACUGCAUUUUUAACUACCGGGCUAGAGUGUGUCAGAGGGAGGUGGAAUUCCGCGUGUAGCAGUGAAAUGCGUAGAUAUGCGGAGGAACACCGAUGGCGAAGGCAGCCUCCUGGGAUAACACUGACGCUCAUGCACGAAAGCGUGGGGAGCAAACAGG